rnacentral:rRNA from 1 species
GACGAACGCUGGCGGCGUGCUUAACACAUGCAAGUCGAACGGAAAGGCCCUGCUUUUGUGGGGUGCUCGAGUGGCGAACGGGUGAGUAACACGUGAGUAACCUGCCCUUGACUUUGGGAUAACUUCAGGAAACUGGGGCUAAUACCGGAUAGGAGCUCCUGCUGCAUGGUGGGGGUUGGAAAGUUUCGGCGGUUGGGGAUGGACUCGCGGCUUAUCAGCUUGUUGGUGGGGUAGUGGCUUACCAAGGCUUUGACGGGUAGCCGGCCUGAGAGGGUGACCGGCCACAUUGGGACUGAGAUACGGCCCAGACUCCUACAGGAGGCAGCAGUGGGGAAUAUUGCACAAUGGACGGAAGCCUGAUGCAGCAACGCCGCGUGCGGGAUGACGGCCUUCGGGUUGUAAACCGCUUUCGCCUGUGACGAAGCGUGAGUGACGGUAAUGGGUAAAGAAGCACCGGCUAACUACGUG